AGAGUCUCAGAUCCUGGUGGGCACUGUGAGAAGGGCCCAGCUGGUGCAGGCCCUCCAUGCUGAGUCAGCUUGCUGGGUGGCAGGCCAACAGUGCUGUCUCCAGGACCUCUUGGCUGGGGGCUGCCCCAUGGAACCAGUGACCCUACAGCUGUCCCCAGAGACCUCCCUGCACCAGACGCACCACCUGUUUGAGCUGUUGAACCUGCAGUUGCUCUAUGUGACAUCGCGGGGCAGAGCUGUGGGCGCCGUGACCUGGGAGGAGUUAAAGAAAGCGAUUUCCACCCUGACCAACCCACCAGCCCCCAAGUGAGCCGGCCUGGUCAGUGAGAGCAGGUGCGCAGCUGCCUGGGGCUGGACAGGGCCCCUGCCUCUCCCUAGAUGCCACCACCCGUCAUCACCUGCCCCAGCCCCUCCCCACUGUACAGGGGAGCUGGCAGCUCUUCUCUAGCCCUUCUGUCCCAUCCUGGGGCCAGCGGCUGUUGCCUAGAAAGCCAAACCCCACCCUGGAUGCAGCAAGGAGUGGGAGUUGGAGAAGAAAUGGAGGAUACCCACUGCCUGGCCCCAUUCAUGAAUGAAGAGAUUGGUACGUGUCAGCGCCAAGUGCCGGCACCCAUGUUCCCAGGCAGAUGCUCCUGAGCAAAAUAAAGCUGAUGCCCAGAGCUGCUGUUCAUCCCUAGCCUGCCUGCAGGCUGCGCCG